rnacentral:rRNA from 1 species
AACGAACGUUAGCGGCGCGCCUAACACAUGCAAGUCGAACGCGACAGGGGCAACUCUGUUGAGUGGCGCACGGGUGAGUAACACGUAGGUAAUCUCCCCUCGAGUGGUGGAUAACCUUCCGAAAGGAGGGCUAAUACAGCAUAAGACCACGGCCUCGAAAGAGGCUGAGGUCAAAGCGGAGGAUCGCAAGACUUCGCGCUUGAGGGUGAGCCUGCGGCCCAUCAGCUAGUUGGUAAGGUAAUGGCUUACCAAGGCAAAGACGGGUAGCUGGUCUGAGAGGAUGAUCAGCCACACUGGUACUGGAACACGGACCAGACUCCUACGGGAGGCAGCAGUGGGGAAUCUUGGUCAAUGGGCGCAAGCCUGAACCAGCGACGCCGCGUGAGUGAUGAAGGCCUUCGGGUUGUAAAGCUCUGUGGGGAGGGACGAAAGACUGAGGUCUAAUAGGCUUCAGGUUGACGGUACCUCCUUAGCAAGCACCGGCUAACUCUGUGCCAGCAGCCGCCGUAAUAC